rnacentral:lncRNA from 1 species
CUGUUAUGCAACAACUGGUAACUAAGACAGAUUUUGGUACCAAGAGUGAGGUGCUACCCUUACAAAAGUUUAAAUGAGAGAGUGGCUUUGAAAACAGGCAGUGGACAGAAGUGGAAAGACUUCGAGGAAAGUGUCAGUGAAAGCCUGAAGAACCUGCUAAGUAGAAGCCUUUGUGGAGGCCACAGAGUACCACCUGGCCUACAGCCUUGAAUGACUGAUCUUCAUAACAUGUUAUCCCACUUCUUGAUCAUGGCUACUGGACCAGUGACCGACACCUGCUCAAGACUGGCCAAUCAUAUUUCCUCUUCCAUGCCUCUGGAAUCUGAACACUAAAAUGUUACUACACUUGGCAGCAAACCAAGGAGAGGUCAUGCAGAGCAAAGACUGCCAACUAGGAGUGAUAUAAACCAAUUGCGAUAAUUAAGAUCACCUGUUCUGGGGGAAGCCCGAUGCUAUUUCGUAAGGAGACUCAAGCAGCCCUAUGGAUAGGGCCACACAGCAAGAAACUGAGGCCUCUUGCCAACAACCAGCAGCAACUGGCUAGGUAUGUGAGUGAGCUGGCUUGGAAGCAGAUAUUUCAGACCCAGAGAAAUCUCCAGAUGACUACAGCCCCAGCUGACAUCUUGACUGCAGCCUCGUGAAAGACUGCGAGCCAGAAAUGCAGAGAAAAUACAGACAUUAAAUAUACAAUUACAAGUAUGAAUAAAGAAAUCAUCGGGGCUCAGAGACCAUAAGUAACUCACCUAAAGUCACAAACACAGAUAGCAACAGAGCUGGAACCCACAUGGAGUCCUACCAGACGACACCAGACUGGUCGUAACCACUAUUUCAAACUGCUUCCCUAGAUGUUUAACAGAUAUUCACGGA